GAUGAACGCUGGCGGCGUGCUUAACACAUGCAAGUCGAACGGAAAGGCCCUGCUUUUGUGGGGUGCUCGAGUGGCGAACGGGUGAGUAACACGUGAGUAAACUGUCCUUGUCUUUGGGAUAACUUCUGGAAAAUGGGGCUCAUACAGGAUAGAAGAUUCUGCUGCAUGGUGGGGGUUGGUAAGUUUCGGCGGUUGGGGAUGGACUCGAGGCUUCCCAGCUUGUUGGUGGGGUAGUGGAUUACCAAGGCUUUGACGGGUAGCCGGCCUGAGAGGGUGACCGGCCACAUUGGUACUGAGAUACGGCCCAGACUCCUACUGGAGGCAGCAGUCGGGAAUAUUGCACAAUGGGCGGAAGCCUGAUGCAGCAACGCAGCGUGCGGGAUGACGUCCUACGGGUGGUAAACCGCUUUCUCCUGUGACGAAGCGUUAGUGACGGUAAUGGGUAAAAAAGCACCGGCUAACUACGUG
rnacentral:rRNA from 1 species